rnacentral:rRNA from 1 species
UACAGAGGUCUCAAGCGUUGUUCGGAUUCAUUGGGCGUAAAGGGUGUGUAGGUGGCGCGCUAAGUCGGGUGUGAAAUUUCGGAGCUUAACUCCGAAACUGCAUUCGAUACUGGCGUGCUUGAGGACUGGAGAGGAGACUGGAAUUUACGGUGUAGCAGUGAAAUGCGUAGAUAUCGUAAGGAAGACCAGUGGCGAAGGCGGGUCUCUGGACAGUUCCUGACACUGAGACACGAAGGCCAGGGGAGCAAACGGGG